rnacentral:rRNA from 1 species
GACGAACGCUGGCGGCGUGCCUAAUACAUGCAAGUCGAGCGGUUCCUUCGGGGAUAGCGGCGGACGGGUGAGUAACACGUAGGCAACCUGCCUGCAAGAUCGGGAUAACUACCGGAAACGGUAGCUAAGACCGAAUAGCUGGUUCCCUCGCAUGAGGGAAUCAUGAAACACGGGGCAACCUGUGGCUUGCGGAUGGGCCUGCGGCGCAUUAGCUAGUUGGUAGGGUAACGGCCUACCAAGGCGACGAUGCGUAGCCGACCUGAGAGGGUGAACGGCCACACUGGGACUGAGACACGGCCCAGACUCCUACGGGAGGCAGCAGUAGGGAAUCUUCCGCAAUGGACGAAAGUCUGACGGAGCAACGCCGCGUGAGUGAUGAAGGUUUUCGGAUCGUAAAGCUCUGUUGCCCUAGACGAACGAUAGGAAGAGUAACUGCUUUCUAUGUGACGGUAUAGGAGAAGAAAGCCCCGGCUAACUACGUGCCAGCCGCCGCCGUAAAAC